rnacentral:misc_RNA from 1 species
AUAAAUAUUGCUAAAAAUUAAAUUAAAAAUGAGUAGAAAAGAAAAGAAAGAAAAUGAAAGAAAAUACCUAAUAAUGACAUCAUAUGAUGUCAUUAAAAACCUAUCCACUGAUCACAAUUUGUUAAACUCAUUAAAAGAGAUAAAAGUGACCAAAAAUUUGAAAAACCAUCUGCAUCUUCAACCUUUGGGCAGCCUAAAAAACGUUGAGAGAGAGAGAGAGAAGAGGUUCCACCAUUAAAGCUCCCUUAAGCUUCAUUUCCCACUUCAAACCACCUCAAAACCUUGUCCUCCCUUCACUAAAAAUUUCCCUUACCACUAGAGCAAGACUUGGGCAGCAAAAAGAAGUAAAAAUAAAUAAGUUUGUCAAGCUUGGAUUGACACACAAUAAGGUUAGUGCUAAUUCAUCCUUGAAACUUUGUAUAUAUAUCAUGUGGAGUAUGAAAUGAGGGUGAAAUUAAGAGAAUUGAAACAAGUUUGCAUGAAUAAAUUCCACCAAUUUUGGCAGCCUUAGGAUACAUUAGGGUUUCAUUGAUUAGAUUGAAUUAUAGUUGUACAUGGCUGCCAUUGAACAUAAAUUAGAUACUUUGAUUAAUUGAUUGCAUGUAUAUGGAGAAUUGAAAUGGUAGAGUUAGGGUUUGGGCACAAAUUUGAGAUUUUGUUUAUGUAAUGAUGAAAGUGAGUUUUAAUGGUCAAUUAGUGACCAUUUGACGUAAGUUGACCAUAAUUUGAAGUGAACUAGAGUGUUACAAACCAAAUUGGUAGGCUGCCUAGUGACAAUAGCAGGUGAGGCUAUGAGUCCAGCCUGUUUGGACAGCCAUAACUUGAAUUGUAGAGGUUCAAUUGGUGCAAGGCCAAU